AACGAUGUAGAUCAACUGGCAGAUCACUUGGCUUUGAACCAAGAGGUUGCAGGUUCGAAUCCUGCCAUCGUUG
rnacentral:tRNA from 1 species